UCCCUGGCAAUCCAGUGGUUAACACUCUGCACUUUCAAUGCAGGGGGCACAGGUUCGAUCCCUGGUCAGGGAA
rnacentral:tRNA from 1 species